rnacentral:misc_RNA from 1 species
GGAAAGUGUUGUGCCGUUUAUGGUUGCCUUAGUGACCGAAAGGCAAGUGAGAAUUUAGAAAAUGUGGCUUUAUUCAAAGCACCAAAAAUUAUCUCUUAAACUUCUCGAUAUUGCUGAGUUGAAAACGUUUGAGCUUUCUAAAAGUUUCCUUAAACUUUUAUUUAAUUUCACGUUUUUCAAAAUAUUUUUUUUCAAAGCUGUCAAUAGCAACAAAACUUCCCGCGUAAGUAUUUAAACGAGUACUUCUUGAAAAGUAGCACGCCUUACCAGCAGAAUAUCUUGUCCCCUAAAUUGAUGCCGUUCUUUCAACAUUACGUU